UUCGUGUGAGUGCUCUUUCCUCUAACAGGAUCUUUGUGAGAGAGCUGGGCAGCCCAGCACACCUGCAGCUGAUGCUGUCAGUCAGCAGACAAAUAGCUGUAGAGCAGUUACUUUUUGCUUGAUGGCCCCACAUUAUGGGUUAGAGUCAAGCCUCAGGUUUAUUUUAUCACAAUUAUGUUCCAAGUUGAAUCCUGUGGAAGGAUUUUUCAUGGUUGGAUUUAUCCGUCCUUAUCUUUCUCUGCUAAGGUCAGACUCUCUCUUGCUUUGCAAACAGGCAUUGGCCUCAACCUCACCAUAGAUUCAGCUACAAGGAUCCCCACAAUUGCUCCAAGUCAAGUUUGGAGCAAUUGCCUUUCCUCUCUCCCCAUCAUUCCUCCACAGACACACCAGGAUCCACGCUCCCCCCCUCCGGUUCUUCCCUCACCUCAAAACAAAACCUGUGUUCAUACCUCCCCCUGAACUACUUCAACCUCAUUUAUUGCAAAUAAAUCACAAUGAACUGUUUCCUCUGUCCUGUCUGCAUGUGGGGCAGGGAGUUGUCUCAAAACAUGGACAGCAGUAACAAUGCAGCCAUAUUCAACAAACUAAAUGCAUUCAUGAUGAAACUCAUUGUCAGAUUAUAAGUACAUAUUGAAAAUAACCUUUACUUGGGUAUUGGCCACUUUCCGUAGGCUCACAUUUCUGUUUGAAACUGUUUUUCAUUGGUCUGAUGUAAUAUUUUAAUCUUAAAUGUCAUGUUUUUACUAGCUGUCAGCUGAAAAUCAUUAAAAGGAGAGGCUUGAAAACCUCUGUCAUUAUAAUGGUAUAAUGUAUUGCAAGAAAUGAACUUUUCAUUAAUAUUCUAAUUGCCUGUUUUGUGUUAGACUGUUUGUCAUCCACUUAUCUGUGUUUUUGUGGACCAAGUAUAUUAGAUUUUCUUUUUUUUAGAAUCUAGAUCAAUCCCUGGUUCACCAUGCAAUACCGAAUCAAAGGUGAUCCCACAUAGCAAAGUGAAACAAUGCUACCAUUUUGGCUCAAAGUUUUACUUUUUCAUCAUCAAACUUUGUUCUUGUGUUCCAAUGGUUAAUGGACCGUAUUUCCCAGCCACAACGAUCUGCCACACCCUAGUCGUCAUCAUUCCUUGCUUUCAGUGAACCUGGACAGGCCACUAUUUUUUCUGCAUUUCAUCUGUGCAGUGAAGCUGGUCGGUCUGCAUUUAAACUCAGGAAAAGGAAAAUCAGUGACCAAAUUAACCAUGUACGUGCCCCGACUUAAAAUAGCUGAGUAAUUGUUUGUGAUAGUGUGACUUUAAUUUGCUUGAGAUUU